rnacentral:rRNA from 1 species
AUACGGAGGAUCCGAGCGUUAUCCGGAUUUAUUGGGCUUAAAGGGUGCUCAGGAGGGGGAUUAAGUCGGCGGUGAAAUUUUGCGGCUCAACCGUAAAAGGGCCUUCGAAACUGGUUUCCUUGAGUGUGGAUGAGGUAGGCGGAAUUUGUGGUGUAGCGGUAAAAUGCAUGGAUAUUACGAGGAACGCCGAUUGCGCAGGCAGCUUACUAAGCCAUAACUGACGCUCAAGCACGAAGGCGUGGGGAUCAAACAGGAUUAGAUACCCUGGUAGUCCACGCAGUAAACGAUGAUUACUGGUUGUUUGCGAUAUAAUGUAAGCGGCUGAGCGAAAGCGUUAAGUAAUCCACCUGGGGAGUACGUUCGCAAGAAUGAAACUCAAAGGAAUUGACGGGU